rnacentral:rRNA from 1 species
AUUGAACGCUGGCGGCAGGCCUAACACAUGCAAGUCGAGCGGAUGAGGGAAGCUUGCUUCCCGAUUUAGCGGCGGACGGGUGAGUAAUGCCUAGGAAUCUGCCUAUUAGUGGGGGAUAACGUUCCGAAAGGAACGCUAAUACCGCAUACGUCCUACGGGAGAAAGUGGGGGAUCUUCGGACCUCACGCUAAUAGAUGAGCCUAGGUCGGAUUAGCUAGUUGGUGGGGUAACGGCGCACCAAGGCGACGAUCCGUAGCUGGACUGAGAGGAUGAGCAGCCACACUGGAACUGAGACACGGUCCAGGCUCCUACGGGAGGCAGCAGUAGGGAAUAUUGGACAAUGGGCGAAAGCCUGAUCCAGCCAUGCCGGGUGUGUGAAGAAGGCCUUUUGGUUGUAAAGCACUUUAAGCGAUGAGGAGGCUCUUAAGGUUAAUACCCUUGAUGAGUGGACGUUACUCGCAGAAUAAGCACCGGCUAACUCUGUGCCAGCCGCCGCUGUAACAC